AUAGCUACAGGAAUGGUUUUGAAUUAGAGUGACGUCGGAUCGGUGAAUUCCUUAUGGUGGUCUGUGGUAGUUUGAAGAGUUAUUGAGAUGAGUAUGGCUAAGGCUCGGUGGUGUGUUCGUCGGAUGAAGGUGAUGGCGGUUUGGCGGUGGUAUAAAGAAGAAGGGUUUAGUCGAUGAUGAAUAGUUAUGGAGGAGAAGGAGAUCUAAUAAGUUGAAGAGGUUUUGAGUGGUGACGGCGUUGUUGUGUGAUAUCGGAGCAGACGGAGUAUGGUGGAAGGUUGUUAGCAUGGUACGGACGGCGGUGGAAGGUGGAAGAGAUGGUGGCAGUCGGUUGUUUAGGAAGAUGAACAGUGGUUCAUCUCUUUUUUUCUUCUUUAUUCUCAUUUUAUUGUUUAUUUCUCUGACAGAAAGCCAUUGGAAAAUGAGAGUGUGUAGAGGCUAGUCCUCCUAGUGAGAGCCUAGAGAGGAAUUUUUUCUUUUCUUUUUUCGUUACCAAGAGAGACCGUCUAUUUUUUUUAGAGAGAGUCGUAUAUGCCUCUCUUUUUUUCUUUUUAUUCUCCCCAUUUGCCAAUUAGAGAGUGGUUAGUGGAGAGAGCUUCCUUGUGACAGUUUUCUUCUCCUUUUGUUUUUAUUCGCCAGCUGUUACCACUUAUCUCCCAUGUGACCGUUAGACAACAUCAUCCCUUAUGUGUGGUCUUUGUGAUAGGGAGGAUCAAGAUACUAUUUUUUUUUUUUGGUUAAACAAACAAAAUAGAAAUGUUAAUUUAUGAUUGGUUAAAAAAGGAAGUGAGGAUAGUGCAUCAAAACCUUUGAUUAAAUUCGAAUCAACGGUCCAAGUUAACCCAAAGAAGCAUAAGCAAUUUUAAAAUGCCAAAGUUACCUCUUCUAGAUGAUUUAAUUGAUUUAAAUGGGAUUAAAUCAAUUUAUUCAAAUAAAAUUCACAACUUUUCAAAUAAUCAUAAAUAAAAUUAAAAUAAGAGCAUGGAAAAUUCUAUUUAUUUAAUUUGAAUAUUUUGGCGAAAAAGUAGAAUUAAAACGACUAAAAAUGAAUAAAAAGUCGGGCGAAAAUUUGCUCAAAAAAUUAAACCGGACGCACUAAAAUUAUCAGCGCGAAAUAUACUUAUUGAAAAAAUACAGCGUUUCUUUUAAUUUUGAAAUAAAUUUUCACCGGCUCAAACGGAUUAAAAUGCAACUAAAAAAGUCAUCGAAAAAUAUAACGAGCCCACCAGGCUGGACUACGCGAACCGUAGAUUAAUAAUACUGGUGUCUGUAAGUUUAAUCUCGAAACUUUUUACCCGCUGAUUUUGCAUGUACUUGAGAAAUGAUUUAACCAAGUUGUGUGUAUAUUCAAGAAUUUAUUCUGACUGAUAUUUUAGGUAUUAUUCAUAAUGAAAUGCAUGCCAUGCUAUACAUAUGAUGCAAAUUGAAUUUAAAAAAAUUGAAUUUAUGAAAGUUUUAAAAUGCCCAGACAAAAUUGGGGUAUGACAGUUGCCCCUAUUUAAUUACCUUAAACCAGAAAGUAUGAAUGACAACAAUCUUCGUACAUUCGUGAUGGAAGAUAAUUAAAUACGAAAAGAACCAAUUUUUUCCUUUGAGAUGGAAGGAUGAAAUGCAUAAAGAAAAUGCAAUGAGAAAUACAGUAAGAAAAGUAAAUGAGGUAAAUUAACCAAUCAAGACUCUCUGGGAAUUAUCAGAAUAGUAUAUUGGAUGCCAUGAUUGAGAUAUUACAACAAUGGAAUGAUACCUCAAUCAUAUUUAAGAUUUUCUGAGGAUUAGCAUAACAGUGUAUCUAAAAAUGAAUGAGACUCUUCGUAUUGAUGAAGCAGCGUCUCAAACAGCAACAUGAGAUUCUCUGUAUCGAAUCGAAUCAGCAUCUUAUAUGAUAAAAUUAAGAUGUUCCUAGUCAAAAGGAAUGAUAUCUUUAUUGAAUAUAAGACUCUUCAAGGAUACUAGAGCAGUAUCUCUAAAAAAUAUGGAAUGAGACUCUUCAUAUUGAUGAAGCAGCAUCUCAAACAGCAAAAAUGAGAUUCUCUGUAUCGAAUUAAAGCAGCAUUUUAUCUGAUAGAAUUAAGAUAUUCCAAACUAAAGGAAUGAUAUCUUAAUUGAAUCUAAGACUCUUCGAGAAUGCUAGAGCAGUAUCUUUAAAAAAUCUAGAAUGAGACUCUUCAUAUUGAUGAAGUAGCAUCUCAAACAGCCAAAAUGAGAUUCUCUGUAUCGAAUCGAAGCAUCAUCUUAUCUGAUAGAAUUAAGAUAUUCCAGACCAAAGGAAUGAUGUCCUAAUUGAAUCUAAGACUCUUCGAGGAUACUAGAGCAGUAUCUCUAAAAAAUCUGGAAUGAGACUCUUCAUAUUGAUGAAGCAGCAUCUUAAACAGCAAAAUGAGAUUCUCUGUAUCGAAUCGAAGCAGCAUCUUAUUUGAUAGAAUUAAGAUGUUCCAGACUAAAAGAAUGAUGUCUUAAUUGAAUCCAAGACUCUUCUAGGAUACUAGAGCAGUAUCUCUAAAAAUCUGGAAUGAGACUCUUCAUAUUGAUGAAGCAGUAUCUCAAACAGCAAAAAUGAGAUUCUCUGUAUCGGAUCGAAGCAGUAUCUUAUCUGAUAGAAUUAAGAUAUUCUAGACUAAAGGAAUGAUGUAUUAAUUGAAUCUAAGACUCUUCGAGGAUACUAGAGAAGUAUCUCAAUAAAACAAAUGAGAUUCUUCAAAUCAAUGAAGCAGUAUCUCAAACAGAGAAAUGAGCUUCUUCAGAUAAAUGAUGCAGCAUCUCAAAUGUUCAUCUGUUGGGGGAAUAUUUAAGACAAUACUCCUUUUGAGGGAGAUUUACUAGGAAUGCUCUACAGGGGAAAAGCCCAUAAUAGACUUUUUAGGGUAACCUUUGCUUGGGGAGCAAUGAUAGCAAAGAAAAUGCUAGGAAUAUCACUAUCAACCAUAAAAUUGACAAAUAACUAGCUGAGGAACAAUUUCACAAGCACGUGCAUGGUAAUAACUCCGUUGAAUUGAAUGAGGAAAGUCCGAGAUACACAUGAAUGACCCCGAAUCCUGAUAUUUGUUAUGUUUUUUUUGUAUGAUGCUCCGUUUUGGAUGGCAAUACUAUGCACAGGGUGAUGUAUGAGGUGUAUGCAUUAUGCAAUUACUGGGGACAUUUAGGAUGUGCAUAUAGGAAUGCGAAUCGUAUAAGGCUAUGCAUAUGUAUGCCAAUGAUUGGUAUGUGUAGCGGGGUAUUCGUUACCUUUAGAUUUAUUGACUAAAUCAAAAGUAAAUCAUACAAUUCGAGUCGCCACCGCACUUCUAUUUAUCCAAAGGAAAGGUUAGAAAGCGAACAAAAACCGAGAAGUUUUAUCAAAUCAAAAACUAAUAAAAAUGUCAGAGAUCUGGGUAAGGGGUUGGUUAUGCAAUGGGGGUUUUAAGCACCCAAAACAUCCUUAGUACUCUAAGGGAGCCCUUUUUACAAAUGUUGUAAGGUAGGUUGGUAUUUGUGAAAAUAUUUGUGCAAACAUGAUUGGGGAGAUAAGAAAAGAAUAUACAAUUUAUUUACAAUUUUGUGUUUGAAUGGAUGAACCCAUUGCCUACGUACCAUCUUAAAAAAGAGUAGGAUCAAAACCUCGUAGUUCGGGGUAAAAAUCUCAAAAGAAGUUGGUGAAUUGAUUGGUCAAAAGCCUUAAGGUAUUUUGUUAUCAAAGGGAGAAAACUCAACCUAAAACCACAAAUCCACCAUGUGAGGAGAGCUUUAACAUGCUAGUGAGGGAUUAACCCUAUAAUAAGCAUGGAAGACUUAUAGUCCAUCACUAAGGAUACAGGUGAGUAUUAUAUCAACCUUUAGGAUAACUCAAACCUAAUAGCUAAUGUUUAUGAAAAGCUUUAACACAAAUGGUCAUUGGAACCACAAAAAAACAAUUGAGUGAAUUGUAUUUACAAAUGAAAAGUAUUCACAAAAUAACUUCAAAGUUGACUUAAGAUUCAAUUCAAAAUAAGUGUUAUGAAAAGAGUUUGAAAAAUCAAAGGCAUAAUGCCUAGGUUUCUAAUUUUAAAAACAAUGUUAAUGUUUGCACAAAAGUUUGGCUUGGGUUAGAGUGGAGAGAAGAAGAGAAGUGCUAGGUCCUAAACAUGCAAAGAUGAGGGAAGAGAAAUAAAAACACUUAGAGUUCUCUUCUUGAGAUCAUAAAGAUGAUCCAAGUUUCUCCUUUCCUUUGGAUUUAGCAAGCAAUAAGCAAAUAACUCAAGCAAUCAAGCAAACAUCAAUCAAGCUCCUAAGAAUCUUCCAAUUGGCUUUUGUAUCUCUUAUCUUGGAUGUCCAUGACAAUGAUUUUUCUAAUUGGCUCAAGCUUAGGAUCCCUAUCACAAGAACACACAAAUCAAAAAGUUCCACAAUGCAAUAGAAAGAAUGGACAAGAGUGAGUUUAGAAUUAGGGGUCCUUUCAAUGUCAUCUUCAAGAUUAAGCAUUCUAAAGGCAUGAAACACACAAAUCAAAAAGUUCCACAAUGCAAUAGAAAGAAUGGACAAGAGUGAGUUUAGAAUUAGGGGUCCUUUCAAUGUCAUCUUCAAGAUUAAGCAUUCUAAAGGCAUGAGGCCUAGUUGCUCUUCAACAUGUUUAGCAUUCUAAAGGCAUGAGGCCUAGAUGCUCUUCAAACUCCAUUUAGCAUAGUUAAGGUCCUAAAUCUAAGUCCUUUCUCCAUUUGCUUUGGGUUCACACAAACAAAAACAAAACAAGCACAAGGCAAUAGUAUAUACACAAUAAUGUGCUCAAUUGAGCAAAAGGCAAAUGGCAUAAGCAUAAACAUGAUCUCAAGUGAGCAAAGGGAAAAAGACAAAUGAAUUAAUGAGCAAGAAUUUAAAUUGCAUUAAAGUAAAUUACAAGAAUUAAAUGCUUGAAUUAAAAGUUAGUGAUUAGUAGUUAGUGUUAGUGUGCCAUAAGGCAAUUUAGCUCUAUGUUAAGCAAUCGUAAGUGGACUAAUGUAGUAGUCACACCUAUCUGAGGCCGGUCAAUAAAACUAUAGGCAAACAAACACAAGUUAGAGACCAUGACUAGUAAUCCAAGCUCCUACAACUUGUCAUGCCAAAAGAAAAGAAGAAUGAUCUUGUAUGGAUUUAGGUUUUUUGUUUGACCAAGAAGCAACCUAUCUCUAAUGCAAAGCAAUUCACUUGAUCUUUGAUCAAGGUGAAUUUGAUUUGGAUCAAAGAAGGUUAAGCCCCUUAUAUGUCAAGGCUAACCACCAACCAUUAACUCAUUGAUCAAAAAGAAAAAAGAAGAAGAAGAAGAAGAAGAAAUGGAAUGUACACAAUUGAAAUUCAAAUGACAUAACCAACACAUAUUGAUCAAACAUGAAUGGGAUCAACAUCAAUCAAUGGUAAACAGAAGUGAGAUGAAGCUUAGAAGUCAAGAAACAAUGCAAAUAUUUUUGGUAUUUUUUGAAAUUAAAAUAAUACUUGAAUUAAAAUGAACAAAUAAAGGUCAAACUUCAAAUCCAAUUCAAAUCAACAUGGAAAAGUCCAAUUGGAUCAUCAUAAGUUCAACAUGGUCAAACAAGGUUUGACAAAAAAUUUCAUCAUUUUUUGAAAACAGAAACUAAUUUUAAACAAUUAAAAAUGAAGAAAAAUAACAUAAUUGAGGAAAAGUCCAAUUGGAUCAUCAUAAGUUCAACAUGGUCAAACAAGGUUUGACAAAAAAUUUCAUCAUUUUUUGAAAACAGAAACUAAUUUUAAACAAUUAAAAAUGAAGAAAAAUAACAUAAUUGACAAAUAAAUCUCAAAUCAAUUAAGAAAUUGAUGAGAAUAUUUUUCAUAGAUUCAUCAUCAUUCAAAGAUGUUAAGAAAAUAUUUUUGGCAUUUUUGAAUAUUGGAAAGUAUUUUAAAUGAUUAAAAAUAACCAGAAAAGAGAAAAUUCACAAAAAAUAUUAAAUGGAAUCACAAAAGUAAUUAAAAAUCAUUUUUAGAAACUAGAAUUUAAGAGAAAAAAUUUGCAAUUGGUCCCAUAUUUUUGUGAUUCCAAAUAAAGAAGUUGUGAAUUUUUAAAAUAAAAUGAAAUUCAGAAAUUUGAAAAAAAACAAGGAGUGUCUGAUCUUGAUUCAUUAAUUGACGUGGCACAUCAAGUGGCUGAUAAGCGCGCGCUCAUGGUGUGGAUUAGUCAAACGCGUAGCACCAAGCAUUAAAACAAGGCAUAACGUUUAAGGGCUGGGAUUAGAUCUGGGAACAAGGAUCCAAUGGCCAUGAACUCAUCCACGUGGGGACGGUGGUGGAAACCACUGUCUUCUCCGGUGAGACUCACCGUUCCGGCCAGGAUUGUAGGUUUUCAAACCUUCAUCAUUUUGCACGAUCCAUACAUCAUUAGAAACUUAGGGUGAUGUACAUCACCUUUGUACCCUUGGUUUCCACUCAAGAUCUCUAUAGAGAGAGAGAAAUCUGAGAUGGAAAAUUGUGGUGUUCAAACUGAACUUACUCAAUUCACAAAAUUAAAUGCACAAAUCAAUUGCCUCUCACAUGAGGACUUCAGAGGUACCAAGCAAUGCAAGAAAUGAAAUCUGAGAUGGAAAAUUGUGGUGUUCAAACUGAACUUACUCAAUUCACAAAAUUAAAUGCACAAAUCAAUUGCCUCUCACAUGAGGACUUCAGAGGUACCAAGCAAUGCAAGAAAUGAUCAAUAUCUAAGGAGUUUUGAAUGAAAACAGUUUGAACAACAACCUUUGAAGUGCAGCUUUCAAUGGCACAAUCUGAUCCAACUCUUUGAUGCAGCUUGUUCUUGAGGUAGCAAGGAAGCAAGGUUCAGGAAUUGAAGUUCAAAGAUCAACCAAUGAAGUUGAAAAUUGAACUUGAAAAAUUGAGAGAAAAAUCAAAAUUCCUUUGAGUGAGGGUUUGGAUUUCACUUCUGCAGAAUUUCAGGCGCCUUGAGGUUGAAGUUUGAAGUGAAUGCAACCUUCUAUUUAUAGGCAAGGAUGACGCAAUGCAUGAAAUAUCCGUGUGCAUGUGAAGUUGGAUCCUCCGUGCAUGGGCCUGUACAGGCGCAUGGGAGGCCCAAGAGCAAUGGCAAUUGAAUGCUAAACAUCAGCCAAAUGAAAUUGGACAUGCAGAUUGUAAUGUGUAAGCUUGUGCAUGGAGUUUCAACAUGGUUUCCAUAAAUGAUCAAAAAACUUCACCUCUUCGAAAAUGCCAUUUUCAAAAUUGAAACAUAGGCAUGUGGGUAAUGGUUGGAAAGGUAUUAACAUGAGGAACAAAUGUUAUGUUGAACAAAAAUCCAUUUGGAGUUGGGAAAAUAUUGAAAACUGAUCAUGAAGUUCAAGGUACAAAACAUGUGUAUGGAAAUUUUGCCAAAAUGGACCAACUUCAAGCCCUUCUGUUUAAAUUAUUAAAGCCUCAAAUGACAAACCCUCCAACAUAAAAGUUGUAUAUCUUUUCAAGACAAUAAUUUUGGACUUAAAUUUUGCAUCAUUUGGAUUUUUUAUGAGAAAGGUAUGGGCACUUGAAGUUGGACUUUUUCACAUUUCAAUGACUUUGGUCCAAAGUGACCUAUAAUGUUUUGUAUUAUCACAUGUAUUUAUUUUAGGAUUAUCAAAUUUUUUCCAACAUAACAAUUGAAUUAUACAUUUUAAAAUUUCCAAUGCAUUUGGUCCCACCUCAAAAUAAUGAAAAAUGAAGGAGUUAGGUCCUUGGGAAGUUGACCCAAAAUUAGGGUUUCAGUCAAAAUGACCUAUAAUGUUUUGAAAUGAAUGAUGACCUUCCAAGUUUCAAAUCAAUUUUAGAUGAACAUGAAAGUUGUUCAUAUGGUUCUUAAGAACAUGUUUUCUCUUGGGGUAAUCUUCAUUUGACAAACACAUCAAAAGUUAGGUCUCAGUGGAUUUCAAAAUAGUCAGAUGAAUUGACUGAUCAACUUCUCAAGUCCAAACUUCAAAUCUUGAUGAAUUGAUGAUUAAAGACACUCACAUAAGCUCAAAUAUGCAUAAAAUGAUUAAUGAAAUAACUUCCCUUGAUUUUAUUUGAUCAUGGAUUGAGGUUGUUUCAUGAGCAAGGCACAGUCAAUGCACAGUUGAAUUAGGGUUUCCUUGGGAAACAAUCCUCAAGCCCUUUGGUUUAUAUUGAUCAAAAUGACAAAUUGAGAUACUUGGGAGGCAUAUAUGAUGAUUCAGAGCUUUUGGAACCAUUGUCAUGCUUGAUUUCACUUUCAUUUGGCCACUUCAAUGGGCAUAGGGGCCUCCUAGGAGCCUUGGAUCACAUGAUUGCUCAAGCUUCAAAACAAACAAAGUUAGUGACAUAUUUUUGUGCUUUUGGUUAGUAAACAAAAACUUCAAUGGGCAUAGGGGCCUCCUAGGAGCCUUGGAUCACAUGAUUGCUCAAGCUUCAAAACAAACAAAGUUAGUGACAUAUUUUUGUGCUUUUGGUUAGUAAACAAAAUAAGAAAAGCAAUAAUACAUAAUUCAAGCAUGCUUGGUGGUCUCAAACCAACUCUCACAAGUCCCAACCCAAGGGUAAAGGAGCCAAGAUGCUAUGAUCCUUGAGGCAAAUGCAAAUGCAAUGAUAUGAUGCCAUGAGGGAUCUUAGGAUCAAAAUUAGGGUCUUACAGAUGCCCCUAUUUAAGGUCAUUCUAGCCAGAGAUAUGAAGGUUAAAAUCUUCGUCUCGGCGUGGUAGAAUGGGCUUAAAUAAUAACAAAGAGACGAAUUUUGGUCCCUAAGAGACCUCAUGAUGCAAAUGUAUGUAUGCAAACGUUAAUACUCUGUGGGGAUAUAUGUCCACAAAGGAAAAAGAAAUCAGCAAAAACUGAGAAUCCAAAUGAGUAAUACACUCAUAAAUGGGACAAAGACUCUAGGGACUUUACUGGGGAAUAAAUGGGAUAAAAAUGUGUGAGCAGGUCACGACUUAAAAUUUGCUAGGAGACACGAAGGGAUUCCAUGAAAAUAAAUCAAUGGAAAGACUCGAGCUGACACAAAGAUGCAUGCAUUGGGGAAUAUGCCAAUACAGCAAACUAUCCACAAAGGAUACUUCGGAUAAAAAUUCGGACUCAGGUGGGGAUGUCCACAAAGGGACUCAGCUGAGGAAACAAAAUGAGGUAUUAGCGGUUACUGGGUAAUAAGAUCAAAGAGACAUAUGAUCAAAAUACCAGUAUAAGGGUGAGAGAACAACACGCUCGGGGAGAAAGAAUAUCUAAGACCGGUAUAAGGGUGAGAGAUAUCAAUUAACCAAAACAUCUGAGGAAAACCUAAAAAGGUAUAUUUCAACUCAGGAAAAUCUAACUCCACAGGGGAUAAAAAGUCAUAAUAGGGAGCAGAAGGGAAGGAACACCAGGGAUACCGGUUACUGGGCAUAUAAUAGGUGACCAACCAAGCAUGAAUUGGGGAAUAUUUCCAAAAUACUCAUCAUCCGAAAGGAGGGCUGAAAAAGCAAACUCGAUUAUAGGAUGGACAUUCGAUUCCAUAAGGAAAUACGAAUCUUACUUAACUAGGGAAGAAAAAGACUUCGACUGAAGAGCGCAUGAGAUAUAUUAUCUAUUACCGUCAUAACAUAGAUAACAUACUCGCAUGGAAGAUUAUCCACAACCGGUUACUGGGUUAAUAAAGGAUAAAUCGAUCGAAAAGAAAGGACAUCGGGAUACCGACUACUGGAUACAAAAUGAUGACCAAUCAAAGGGGAGAAAUAAUCAUCAUCGAACAAGGGUAAGUGAAAGAUGACUCGCUGGGGAUACAUUGACAAAAGCAAUGAUCUGGGAGAUAUAUCACCGGUUACUGGGGAGAUAUACUCAAAACAAAGGAAUAUCAAUAAUGAAUAUUGGAUAAAGAUAACCAACAAGGAAGGGAUUACAUCUACCGGUUACUGGGUAGAAAACCACAGAACAGAAUCAAGGGUUAACUCUGCAAGGGAACAACACGGGUUUUACAACUACCGGUUACUAGGUAGAAAACCACAACAGUAGGACUUACAACUACAGGUUACUGGGUAGAAGGCCACACCAUCCACUAGGGAGAGAAUGAGCAACUACUGUUUACUAAGCAAUUGGUCAUCUGAACCACAGGGAAGUGCAGGGGAAAUAACGAGAGUAGUCAAUCUAGGAACAAACUAGAGAGACACAAUGAAACAAGACUCAACCCAAUGAGGAUAUAACUCAGGGGAAUAAUUCCCUCCCAAUACAUGUUUUGGAAGGAAACUGAAAUAAUAAUCAUCCACGAGGACAUAACUCAGUGGGGAAUAUAGAAGAAAGGAUAGACACUUUCUGCUUAUAGGGCUGACUCUAUAUGGAGAGAUCAGACACAAACAUCUGCUUGGGGAAAUAUGUAUCACCAAAUAGUAGGAGUCAACAACCAAAGAUAUAUGGCAAAGAAUGCAACAUGAAUAUCUGAAUGUUAUGAUUAUGCAUGUAUAUGCGUGGUUUAUGUAUGAUUAAUGCUGACAAACAGACAUAUCUAACACAAACAGGUCCAAGAAUCAACAGAUAGACAUCUGGUACUACAUCUCAAAAGAGAAAGCCAAGCCCACAGGAAAAAAUCCAAUCUGGUGGGGGCAAAAAAUACCAGGAAACGAAUCACUGCUAAGGAUCAAACGAAGUUGCUUCCAGGGACAAAGACCACUGCCAGGGGAACACGCAGGAUCACUGGGGAUCAGAGACUGCUGUUGGGAAUAAGCAAAGGAUCACAACCACUAAAAUUGGGGAUCUUCCAACAGUACACCGAAACAAGGAUAAGAUCAGUCAGAGAAGAAAUCUAUUGGGGAUCUUAUCAGGGGGUGAUGUGGAAUUCUGUGGGGAAUAACCACUAAAUAGAAUCACAUCAAACAAAAUUCACUUCUAACCACAGAAGGAAACAUCUCUGUUAUGGAGAAGGAGAACCAGUCACUCCGCUGGGGAAAAAGACAACAUGUCCUCCUCAGAAGUUCCAACACCAAACGAAAAUCAGGUAAAGCCUUAGCUGGGGGAACUAAACACGGAUAAGAUUCAUCGUAGAAGUAACUCUACUGGGGAAAAACCAAGGAAAGAUAAGAAACUCUGUGGGGAAUAACCACCGAACAAAAGUUCUAAUAACCAUCACAAUUCCUCAUACUGUCGGAGAAACAAACUCUGCCGAGGAGAAGAGAAACACCACUCCUCUAGGGAUAAAAAAUAAGCAUUUUCAUCACCCGCUCUGCUUAGGAGGAAAAACCAUCCGAGAAGGAGGAAGUAACCAUAACCAGGCUCCGAUCAGGCAACUCCACUAGGGAAACAACUGCUGAUGACUGAACCGGGAAUAGCAUGUAGGCGAUCAGCUGGAGAUAACCUGCUGGUGACCAAACUGAGGGAGUCUAACAUGAGCAACCCUGCUGAGGAUGAACAGGAGGCAAACCUACUGGAGAUCAAUGUAGGAGAAUCCACAGGGGAUAAGCUACAGACCAACUUAUUGAAAAAUUCUCUUAUGUUGGGAUUUCCUGCUCACUAUGCGGGAGAUUUCCAAUAUGAAUGAGGGAAGACCAACUUCCUCGAAGAAGAUAGCAUAUCAACUUAUCAAUCUAUAAGGGAUUUUAGGUCAAUCCACACAAGGGACGACAACCAUAUAAUUGAUAACACAGAUGCUAGAACCAGACUCACUGGGGAGCUAGAAGAUUGAUACCAAACUUCAGACUUUCAGGGGAUCUUGGUGGAAUGUUACUUUCUUCUGCGCUCGCUGAGGAGACAGACUGAAAGAUGAUGAAGAGGAUACAAAGAUAUGCAAAUGCCUUACCCUUUUGGAGAUCAACUAUCCUUGGGAGAGCACUGAAGACGUUCCAUUUAUCCUUUUCAGUCUUUUGUGAAUGUUCACUUGUUUAAAAAUAGUUUAUCAAAAAUUUGUUUGUUUAAAACAAUGAUAUUUAUCAAUUAAAACAUGCAAAUAUUGGUUGAACAGAAACAAAUAAGAGUGCAAAGAAUUAGAUAAAGGUUCAAAUUUAUUUGAUGGAAUGGUAGUCUGCAAAUGGCAAGACUCCAUGGAUCUUUACAAAUUUGAAAUUGGUGAUAUAUAUUGGAAAAGGGAUACAUUGAACAUAAUGACCAUUUCUCCACCAACUCAUGGCAAGACUCCAUGGAUCUUUACAAAUUUGAAAUUGGUGAUAUAUAUUGGAAAAGGGAUACAUUGAACAUAAUGACCAUUUCUCCACCAACUCUGAAUCCAAUGUAUUUGAAGCUUCAGUUGACGACGACUGAGCGAGAAUCUUUGACAGAUGACAGCUUGUAGAACCUAGUCUUGUCAGGAUGCAGUUACUUGCCAAAUCCCUAACUUUUUCCUAGAUUUCCCUAGGGUGAGGUACUCAAUCUAGAGGGAUAUAUAUUCAUUUUUAUGUCUCUAACUUUUGCCUGGAUCGCCCUUUCGGGUUUUCAAUCCACCGAGACGCUCAUUUUUGCCUAAAUCGCCCUUUCGGGUUUUCAACUUAGCAAGCUAUUCUAUUUUUAUUUUAGGCGAAGUAUUUCUUGACUGCAUCUGAAUUCACAGGACGAGUGAAAUCCUCCCCAUCCAUAGUUCUAAGUAUCAAAGCACCGCAUGAAAAGGCUCUCUUAACAACAUAUGGACCUUCAUAGUUUGGAGUUCACUUGCCCCUAGAAUCGGGCGCGAAAGAAAAAACUUUCUUGAGCACAAAGUCACCUUCUCGGAACACACGAGGGUUGACCUUCUUAUCAAAGGCUUUCUUCAUCCUUUGCUGAUAUAACUGACCAUGGCACAUGGCAUUCAAUCUCUUCUCUUCAAUUAAGUUCAGUUGAUCAUAACGACUCUAAACCCAUUCAGCCUCAGUCAACUUGGCUUCCAUCAAGACUCUCAUUGAUGGGAUCUCAACCUCCAUGGGGAGCACAGCCUCCAUGCCAUAUACAAGAGAGAAAGGGGUUGCCCCUGUUGAAGUGCAGACAGAUGUACGAUAACCAUGCAAAGCAAAUGGCAGCAUCUCAUGCCAAUCUUUGUACGUAACAACAAUCUUCUGAAUAAUCUUCUUGAUGUUCUUAUUAGCAGCUUCAACAUCCCCAUUCAUCUUGGGUUUGUAAGGAGAAGAAUUAUGAUGUGCAAUCUUGAACUCGCUACACAUCUCUUUCAUCAUCUUGUUGUUCAAGUUAGAUCCAUUAUCAGUAAUGAUCUUGUCUGGCACACCAUAACGGCAUGUGAGUUGAUUCUUGAUGAACUUCACAACCACUUGCCUGGUCACGUUUGCAUAUGACGCCGCUUCAACCCACUUGGUGAAGUAAUCAAUUUCUACGAGAAUAAAUCUGUGACCGUUGGACGCUUUUGGCUCUAUCAUGCCAAUCAAGUCAAUUCCCCACAUAGAGAAAGGCCAUGGUGAUGAAAUCAUAUUCAGAAGUGUCAGGGGAAUAUGAAUUUUAUCCGCAUAAAUCUGACACUUGUGGAACUUCUUCACGUAUUUGCAGCAGUCAGACUCCAUUGUCAGCCAAUAGUAGCCUGCUCUCAACAUUUUCUUUGCCAUGGCAUGUCCAUUGGAAUGAGUACCAAAUGAACCCUCAUGGACUUCAGUCAUCAACAGGUCUGUUUCGUGUCUAUCCACGCAUCUGAGAAAAACCAUGUCAAAAUUCCUCUUGUAAAGCACAUCGCCAUUGAGGUAGAAACUGCCAGAUAAUCCCUCAGAGUCUUCCUAUCUUUAACAGAUGCCCUAGGCGGGUAAAUCUGACUCUGAAGAAAACACUUGAUAUCACAAUACCAUGGCUUAUCAUCCUUCACUUCUUCGAUUGCAAAUAUAUGAGUUGGUCUAUCCAAGCGCAUCACAGUAAUAUUGGGAACUUCAUUCCAGAAUUUCACCACAAUCAUCGAAGCAAGCGUAGCAAGUGCAUCUGCCAUCCGAUUCUCAUCUCGGGGAAUAUGAUGGAAGUCAACCUCAGUAAAGAACGUUGAAAUCCUCCUCGCAUAAUCUCUAUAUGGGAUGAGGCCAGGCUGAUAAGCAAGCGUAGCAAGUGCAUCUGCCAUCCGAUUCUCAUCUCGGGGAAUAUGAUGGAAGUCAACCUCAGUAAAGAACGUUGAAAUCCUCCUCGCAUAAUCUCUAUAUGGGAUGAGGCCAGGCUGAUUCGUCUCCCAUUCACCCUUAAUCUGAUUAACUACAAGGGCCGAAUCACCAUAAACAUCAAGAUGUUUGAUCCUAAGCUCAAUACAUUCUUCCAAUCCCAUAAUACAGGCCUCAUACUCUGCCAUAUCAUUCGUGCAUUUGAAAGUUAGCCUUGCUGUAAAAGGAAAAUGUGUGCCCUGAGGAGUAAUAAUCAUUGCCCUAAUACCAUUUCCAUAUUGAUUUACAGCGCCAUCAAACACCAUGUUCCAUCGAGAACCAGGCUCUGGCCCUUCAUCGAGCGUAGGCUCAUCACAAUCUUUCAUCUUCAAAUACAAAAUCUCCUCAUCAGGGAAGUCGUAUUGAACAGACUGAUAGUCCUCAAUUGGUUGAUGUGCCAAGUGGUCAGCCAAGAUACUACCUUUAAUAGCUUUCUGAGCUCGAUACUCAAUAUCAUACUCAGACAACAGCAUCUGCCAACGGGCAAUCCUCCCAGUUAAAGCAGACAAUAUCAUAUUCGGAUAACAACAUCUGCCAAUGGGCAAUCCUCCCUGUUAAAGCAGGCUUCUCAAAGAUAUACUUGAUUGGAUCCAUUUUGGAUAUCAACCAAGUCGUAUGAUUCAACAUAUACUGACGUAAGCGCUUAGCAGCCCAAGCCAAAGCACAACAUGUUUUCUCAAGCAUUGAAUAUCGAGACUCACAAUCAGUGAACUUCAUACUCAGAUAGUAGAUAGCAUACUCUUUUUUCCCUGAUUCAUCUUGCUGACCCAAUACACAACCCAUAGAGUCUUCAAGAAUUGUCAGAUACCUAAUCAAGGGUCUCCCUUCCAUAUGCGGACACAGAAUCGAAGGCUCAGACAAAUACUCUUUAAUACUGUCAAAGGCCUUCUGGCAAUCCUCGGUCCAAUCAUAACGCUGAUCUUUCCGGAGGAGCUUGAAUAUUGGCGCACAUGUGGCAGUCAUGUGGGAUAUAAAUCUGGAAAUAUAAUUCAAGCGGCCAAGAAAACCUCAGACUUGCUUCUCAGUUUUGGGCGCAGGCAUCUCUUGUAUUGCUUUGGACCUUGCAGGAUUAAAACUUCAAGACCUCUUUCACAAAAACCAAUUGACAUAAAGCAAUAACUUUGCCGGAACGGACUCCAAAUGUACACUUGUUCGGAUUCAGCGCGAGUUUGUACUUCUAACGCUGAAAGCUUCGACAAGUACUUAUCAUGUUUCAACUUCCAUUCUCGACUUCGCAAUAGUAUCAUCAACAUAUCCUCGAUCUCUUGUGCAUCAUAUCAUGAAACAAGGUAGUUCAUAGCUCGUUGAUACUUGGGCGUCCGGCGGUUCUUCAACCGAAGGCAUCACUCGAUAACAGAAUGUUCCCCAAGUGUGAUGAAUGUGUCUUCUCCUAUCCUCGCGGUGCCAUUUUAUCUUUAUAUCCAGAACAUCACGUCCAUAAAUGAGAAGACAUUAAAUUUAGCUAUCUAUCUACCAACAUAUCAUAUGUGGUAGAGGAAAUCAUCUUUUGGACUAGCUUUAUUCAAGUCUCUAUAGUCCACACACAUUCGGACUUUUCCAUCUUUCUUAGGCACAGGCACAAUAUUGGCCACCCAUUGAGGAUAUGUAGAAGUCACCAGAAACCCCUCAUCAAUUUGCUUCUGAACUUCUUCUUUA
rnacentral:lncRNA from 1 species